rnacentral:rRNA from 1 species
AUUGAACGCUGGCGGCAGGCCUAACACAUGCAAGUCGAGCGGGGUUUUCGGACCUAGCGGCGGACGGGUGAGUAAUGCGUAGGAAGCUGCCCGAUAGAGGGGGAUACCAGUUGGAAACGACUGUUAAUACCGCAUAAUGUCUACGGACCAAAGUGUGGGACCUUCGGGCCACAUGCUAUCGGAUGCGCCUACGUGGGAUUAGCUAGUUGGUGGGGUAAUGGCUCACCAAGGCGACGAUCUCUAGCUGGUUUGAGAGGAUGAUCAGCCACACUGGAACUGAGACACGGUCCAGACUCCUACGGGAGGCAGCAGGGGGGAAUAUUGGACAAUGGGCGCAAGCCUGAUUCAGCCAUGCCGCGUGUGUGAAGAAGGCCUUCGGGUUGUAAAGCACUUUCAGCGAGGAGGAAGGGGUGUGUGUUAAUAGUACACACCUUUGACGUUACUCGCAGAAGAAGCACCGGCUAACUCUGUUCCAGCCGCCGCCGUAAGAC